AACCUACAUGUGCAACAACAAUCCAACAACAUAUAGGUCAGCUCGAAGAAAGUAAAAUUUCGUGUGCGGUGUCAUCAAAUCGAUUUUGUACUACCUUGACGACGGGCAUCUGGGCGCCGAACAUGAGAACGGCGGACAUCUGCAGGAGGACGCGGAAGGUGUCGCGGAUGUUGUUGCUGUUGAACUCCUUGAAGCUCUCAGCGCAGUCGCCGCCCUGGAGGAGGAAGGCGCGUCCCAUGGCGGCGUCGGCGAGGCGCUCUUCCAGGUGGCGCGCCUCCCCAGCGAAGACGAUGGGUGGGAACGCCUCGAUGGUCUUGAGCACCGCCUCUAGCUCUGCCGGGUUCGGAUACUCCGGCAGCUGUAGCGCUUUCUUCGUCCUCCAGCUGUCCACCGCCCACUUCGCCGGCGC
rnacentral:lncRNA from 1 species